rnacentral:rRNA from 1 species
GAUACCUGGCGGCGUGCCUACACAUGCAGUCGAACGGAAGUUUAACGCUGACGAGACUUCGGUCAAAUCUUGUUAAACUUUAGUGGCGGACGGGUGAGUAACGCGUGGGCAACCUGCCUCAUACUGGGGGAUAACAGUUGGAAACGACUGUUAAUACCGCAUAAGCGCACAGAGUCGCAUGACUCAGUGUGAAAAACUCCGGUGGUAUGAGAUGGGCCCGCGUCAGAUUAGCCAGUUGGCGGGGUAACGGCCCACCAAAGCGACGAUCUGUAGCCGGACUGAGAGGUCGGACGGCCACAUUGGGACUGAGACACGGCCCAAACUCCUACGGGAGGCAGCAGUGGGGGAUAUUGCACAAUGGAGGAAACUCUGAUGCAGCGACGCCGCGUGAGUGAAGAAGUAUUUCGGUAUGUAAAGCUCUAUCAGCAGGGAAGAAAGGCUCGUAAGAGAGAUGACGGUACCUGACUAAGAAGCCCCGGCUAACUACGUGCCAGCAGCCGCGGUAAU